AAAAAAAAAGAAAAAGAAAGAGUCACGACGCAACCUUGGCGGGUUUGGAGGCAAGGAGGGCGGGGCAUGUGCGAGCACAGGCGAGGGCGCGCGGGGCAAAGGGUGGAGGAUCUGCCGACGGAGAGGGAAAAAAAAAGAGUCAGAGAGAGAUGGGCGGAGGAUCUGUCGAUGGAGGUAGAGGGCGAAGAAGAGAUGGGUGGAGAAGAAACACACGAAAAUGAAGAGGAACAAGAAGAAAGAGUAGGAAAAGGAGAAACAGUGUAAUUUUUGUCCAAAAGGUGCAACUUUCGUUCAAAGGGUACAACUUUUGUCUAAAACAUUGUUAUUUUUUUUCUUAAAAAGUGCGAGUUUUCUUAAAAUAGUGCAAUAUUUUUCUGAAAUAGUGUAAUGUUCCCUUAAAACAUUGCAACUUCAUCGCGCGCGGGCGCCACGACCUCGUUGCUCGCGUGCGCCGGCGGAGAAGGUAGAGGAGGAAGAAGGAGAAGGACAAUGACGAAAAAACAGAGGGGAAGAAAGAGGAGGAAGAAGAAAAGAAUGGAAAAUUGUAUAAAUUUCACCCAAAUAGUGCAACUUUCGCCUAAAGAGUGUAACCCUCAUUCUAAAGAGUGUAAUUUCUGUCUUAAAGAGUGCAACUUGUAUCUAAAAUAGUGCAAAAUUUUUUUAAAACAGUGUAACUUUAUUUUGACAGUGCAAUUUCAUCUUCUUCUUCUUUCUUCUAUGAUUUUUGGUCUUUCCCGUAGAAAAAAAAUAUUUUUUAUUUUUAUUUUUUAUUAUUCAUAUUUUUUUUAUCUUUUUUUUUUUUUUUUAUCACGACCUCUCCCUUGCCCUCUAUCGCAGCCAUCACCCUUGCCGGAAUG
rnacentral:lncRNA from 1 species